rnacentral:rRNA from 1 species
AUUGAACGCUGGCGGCACGCUUAACACAUGCAAGUCGAGCGGUAACAUGAUCUGUAGCAAUACAGAUUGAUGACGAGCGGCGGACGGGUGAGUAACACGUAGGAACCUGCCCAAAAGCGGGGGAUAACCAAGGGAAACUUUGGCUAAUACCGCGUAAUCUCGAGAGAGGAACGCUGCCCGCAAGGGUGGUGCUUUUGGAGGGGCCUGCGCCCGAUUAGCUAGUUGGUGAGGUAAUAGCUCACCAAGGCGAUGAUCGGUAACUGGUCUGAGAGGACGACCAGUCACACUGGGACUGAGACACGGCCCAGACUCCUACGGGAGGCAGCAGUGGGGAAUCUUGGACAAUGGGGGCAACCCUGAUCCAGCGAUGCCGCGUGGGUGAAGAAGGCCUUCGGGUUGUAAAGCCCUUUAGGUCGGGAAGAAGUGUGUAGGCUGAAUAAUCCUAUACAUUGACGGUACCGACAGAAUAAGCACCGGCAAACUCUGUGCCAGCCGCCGCGGUAA